AAAAUAAAAAUUUGUUUUGAUGUUUUGGUUUACAGGUUCCAAAAGAAGAAAACGUAGAAGAACAUGAUGAACAUGAUGAGACUGAAGAUCAAGAAGCAUAUGUAAUUUUGUCAGAUGAUGAAGAUAAUGGGACUGCACCCACAGAGAAAGAAUCACAACCUCAAAAAGUAGAAACAACAGAGGUCUGCAUUCCUUAAUUGUUUAAAAAGACAUGAUAAAAUUGUCAAAAAAUAAAAAUUUGUUUUGAUGUUUUGGUUUACAGGUUCCAGGAGAGACCAAGAAAGAUGAUGAAGAUGUUAAUCAAACACCACUCUCUACGCAAGAAGAAGAAAUCACCCAAGGACAGAGCAAUCGUAAGUUCUUUUUACAUUCACAGAUGAUUUGCCUUGAUAAACAACUUCUAAAU
rnacentral:sRNA from 1 species